rnacentral:rRNA from 1 species
ACGAGCGCAACCCUUAUCCUUUGUUGCCAGCGAUUAGGUCGGGAACUCAAAGGAGACUGCCAGUGAUAAACUGGAGGAAGGUGGGGAUGACGUCAAGUCAUCAUGGCCCUUACGACCAGGGCUACACACGUGCUACAAUGGCGCAUACAAAGAGAAGCGACCUCGCGAGAGCAAGCGGACCUCAUAAAGUGCGUCGUAGUCCGGAUU